rnacentral:rRNA from 1 species
GUCGAGCGGACCGACGGGAGCUUGCUCCCUUAGGUCAGCGGCGGACGGGUGAGUAACACGUGGGUAACCUGCCUGUAAGACUGGGAUAACUCCGGGAAACCGGGGCUAAUACCGGAUGCUUGAUUGAACCGCAUGGUUCAAUCAUAAAAGGUGGCUUUUAGCUACCACUUACAGAUGGACCCGCGGCGCAUUAGCUAGUUGGUGAGGUAACGGCUCACCAAGGCGACGAUGCGUAGCCGACCUGAGAGGGUGAUCGGCCACACUGGGACUGAAACACGGCCCAGACUCCUACGGGAGGCAGCAGUAGGGAAUCUUCCGCAAUGGACGAAAGUCUGACGGAACAACGCCGCGUGAGUGAUGAAGGUUUUCGGAUCGUAAAACUCUGUUGUUAGGGAAGAACAAGUACCGUUCGAAUAGGGCGGUACCUUGACGGUACCUAACCAGAAAGCCACGGCUAACUACGUGCCAGCAGCCGCGGUAAUACGUAGGUGGCAAGCGUUGUCCGGAAUUAUUGGGCGUAAAGCGCGCGCAGGCGGUUUCUUAAGUCUGAUGUGAAAGCCCCCGGCUCAACCGGGGAGGGUCAUUGGAAACUGGGGAACUUGAGUGCAGAAGAGGAG